rnacentral:rRNA from 1 species
AACGUAGGUGGCAAGCGUUAUCCGGAUUUACUGGGCGUAAAGCGUGUGCAGGCGGGUGGACAAGUGGGGGAUGAAAUCGCCAGGCUAAACCUGGCGGGGUUAUGCCAGACUGUUUAUCUGGAGUGCGAGAGAGGGGCGUGGAAUUCCGGGUGUAGUGGUGAAAUGCGUAGAUAUCUGGAGGAACACCGGUGGCGAAGGCGGCAUCCUGGACCGGCAUUGACGCUGAGGCGCGAAAGCCAGGGGAGCAAACAGG